CUUUAAAUCGUUCUGUAUUCGAUCAUUUCAUUUGAUUGUUCGAUGAUAGGUGUGACCUCGUGAUUUUAGAAACUUACGAAAUUCUGUACCAAUUUCGACAGGGUUUCUCGUCUGGCACAGUUAUCUUGAAUGCUGACCAAUCAAACUGAAUCUACUGGAAUUCGGACUAGUUUAUUGAACAAAAAUACGUAAUCCGAACCCCGUACUUCCAACGAAACUGACCAGAAGUCAUUCCGUUACAUCAUUUGGCGCCGUCAACGUGAGCUGGUAUUUACUAGGUGAGAGAAAAUCUGAGUAUUUUUAUCGAUAUGGGAUUAUCAAACACACCAUCGAAUAUGUCAGAGUGGCCGGUAACGAGGAGUAGCGGCUCAACAGCCACAGUCAAAUACUAGGGCUAUCCCAAAGUUUGGUAUGUCACAGCAGCCUUUAGUGGAGUAGCCACCCCAAAAAAGGGGGAUGAUCGAAGUAGGAACGUUUCAUUUUUGUCGACUAGUGCUGGAAGACCACAACAAAGAAGAAAGUCUUUGAACAUUGGUAGUUCAUCAAAUGGGGGCCAGAUACCUAAUUAUUUGUCCGAAAAUCAAAACCAAUAUCCUCGGCGUGAUGAAUAUUCAAAUGGAAUUAAUCAAAAUAUUCGUAGUCCUAGGUUUCAAACUGAAAAUGUAAGGGCGAAAAAUCAAAAUUCGAAUUAGCAGAAAAAUCAAA